GUAUAGUAGUGCGUGUGCACAACAGUAAUUUCAUUACAUUCGAGUGUGUGUAAAAAUCCUCUGCUGGCCGAAGCUAGCAAGAGGCCAAAGGUGCACAGGGUAUUGGAUGAAAGUCACCAACGUGCACUUGCCGAAGCCGGCCAGCACUGAAGGCAACGAUUCGCAAUCAGUAAUGAUCCUUCCGCAGGUUCACCUACGGAAA
rnacentral:misc_RNA from 1 species